rnacentral:rRNA from 1 species
ACUCAAAGGAAUUGACGGGGACCCGCACAAGCAGUGGAGCAUGUGGUUUAAUUCGAAGCUACACGAAGAACCUUAUCCGAGGCUUGACAUCCCAGGAAUCCGCUAGAAACAGUGGAGUGCCGUAAGGAACCUGGUGACAGGUGCUGCAUGGCCGUCGUCAGCUCGUGUCGUGAGAUGUUGGGUUAAGUCCCGCAACGAGCGCAACCCUUAUCGUAUGUUGUAUUUUUCAUACGAGACUGCCCGGGCCAACCGGGAGGAAGGUGGGGAUGACGUCAGGUCCGCAUGGCCCUUACGCCUCGGGCUACACACGUGCUACAAUGGCCGGUACAAAGGGUUGCCAAACCGCAAGGUGGAGCUAAUCCCAUCAAAACCGGUCCCAGUUCGGAUUAGAGGCUGCAACUCGCCUCUAUGAAGUCGGAAUUGCUAGUAACCGUGGGUCAGCAUACCGCGGUGAAUACGUUCCCGGGUCUUGUACACACCGCCCGU